rnacentral:misc_RNA from 1 species
CUUUCAGUUCCAAAGUCUCAAUCUUCAGAAAUGGUGCAGCCAAAAUCUAGUGAUCCAGAUCCUGCACAAAAUAAUAGUUCUACUGCUUCAGAGGAUGUUCAGAUGACAGAAGGAACCUCAGCUUCAAUUGCUAUUGUGCAGGAAACAGAUCCAAACGACGCAAUAUAUGCUGAGAGGUUGACAAAAAUCAAGGGAAUUUUGUCUGGAGAGACAUCUAUUCAGUUGACUCUACAAUUUCUAUACAG